rnacentral:rRNA from 1 species
GAUGAACGCUGGCGGCGUGCCUAAUACAUGCCAGUCGAGCGAACGGACGAGAAGCUUGCUUCUCUGAUGUUAGCGGCGGACGGGUGAGUAACACGUGGAUAACCUACCUAUAAGACUGGGAUAACUUCGGGAAACCGGAGCUAAUACCGGAUAAUAUUUUGAACCGCAUGGUUCAAAAGUGAAAGACGGUCUUGCUGUCACUUAUAGAUGGAUCCGCGCUGCAUUAGCUAGUUGGUAAGGUAACGGCUUACCAAGGCAACGAUGCAUAGCCGACCUGAGAGGGUGAUCGGCCACACUGGAACUGAGACACGGUCCAGACUCCUACGGGAGGCAGCAGUAGGGAAUCUUCCGCAAUGGGCGAAAGCCUGACGGAGCAACGCCGCGUGAGUGAUGAAGGUCUUCGGAUCGUAAAACUCUGUUAUUAGGGAAGAACAGAUGUGUAAGUAACUGUGCACAUCUUGACGGUACCUAAGCAGAAAGCCACGGCUAACUACGU